GCUGGAUUGUCAGUUCAACUCACUUGCCAGCUAAGAGUUAAUUCUCACACUCUCAGGUCUCAGCAUAAGACAAAUCAAUUGACCAGUAAACUUUAAAUGCUUGAAGUCAAAGAUCAGCUGUGGUGUUGUUUGUUUUACACAUCUAUUAUCCAAACAAGUUUUGCAUUCCAGGAGAGCAGGGUCUGUAUCUCCUUCCCUGAGGGCAGCAAGGGGGCUGCCUCCAGGUAAGGCUGUGGGUGAGUGCAUAAAUGGGUGUUUACUCAGAUCCCAGGGUGAGAGUACCCAGCCGCUGUCUUACUGCUGCUGUUGUGAGAUGUUUCUCUAGUUUUAACUCCAGAAAGCAGGCAAACUGGCAAGCUUCCAGGAACCUCUGUGCACUGAAUGCCUAGUGAACAAUAACACCAUAUGUAGAAAACCCACUGGAGGCCCCGAAUGGACCUUUUCCAAUCAUAAGCUUCUUCCAAUCGUGAGUUUUAACUAGAAUGAAGUUCUGGAUGCUGUGAACAGAGAGCAGACUCCUUAGGACAUUCAGAUAACCCUGUUGAAGCUGGACCGCUCAGCACCGCACGUGUUGUCAAUAGGCAUUGUGGUCCAGGCCCAUGCCUGCGACUUAGGCUCCAGAAGGCACCUGAGCACGAUAAGCAAAAGCAUCACCAGCUCAGACACUGGAGUCUCCUCCAGAGAUGGGAAGUUACCACGGGAGAAAGGAUCACAGCACUCAGGACACUGGGGUGAAAGCUGCCGAAACCCUCACCACUGCACUCGAGCUUGAUGCCUGACAGCUGCGCUAAUCUCGCUACGCUCCAAAGUGGAGAAAAGAAACGGAAGUUGCCUUACCUGACAACGGAGACAAGCAAGUGUUACGAACAGACUUGUGCCUUCCUCCCCCAAAUUCACCUGGGACCGGAUUCAGAGACUGGGUCCAUAAGCAGAGAGGAAAGGUCUCCUGUGGGCAUGUUGAGAAGUCACCAUCUUGAAGUCAAGAAGACAGACCUCACCUGAAAACAAUGAUACAGGCACCUUGCUCUUGGACUUCUGGCUCCAGAACUCUGAGGAAAUAAAUUUCUGUUGUUUAAGAUA